CAGCAGCCACGGUAAUACGAAGGGGGCUAGCGUUGUUCGGAUUUACUGGGCGUAAAGCGCACGUAGGCGGAUCGAUCAGUCAGGGGUGAAAUCCCAGAGCUCAACUCUGGAACUGCCUUUGAUACUGUCGAUCUGGAGUAUGGAAGAGGUGAGUGGAAUUCCGAGUGUAGAGGUGAAAUUCGUAGAUAUUCGGAAGAACACCAGUGGCGAAGGCGGCUCACUGGACGACUGUUGACGCUGAGGUACGAAAGCGUGGGGAGCAAACAGGAUUAGAUACCCCCGUAGUCCCUGUCUCUUAUAC
rnacentral:rRNA from 1 species